rnacentral:lncRNA from 1 species
AGGAGGGAUCUGGCGGGUCAGGGGGAAUAUCACCGGAGGUGGGAGACGACAGUUUCAGACCGGAAGUACCGCCGGGAACAGCCCAACGAAAGUGCAUUAGUAACCGAGUCAGAGAGAGUUUAACUUCUUUUUUUUUCUUUUCUAGUUUAUAUUGUAGAGGAGAAAAAACACGAAGUUGGACCAAUUUCAGAUUCAUACUAAUAGUUCAAAAAAGCAUCUUCACCUUAAUCUAUAACACGAAGUUGGACCAAUUUAAAUUAACGUGUUUAACGAAUUUACCAAAUCAACAUGUCCUUAGUCUAAAUUCAAAAUUAACGCGUAACAUACCUAACCUUAGUCUCUACAUAUAAAUACACGAAGUUAUAAUUUUUAAACCAAGUGCAUCAAAACCCCAACACAACAGUUACAAAAAAAAACCCAAACAAAAAAUGUAUGUGGUUCGUUUAAUAACUUUGAUGAUUCUACUGUUCUUUGCAUCAUCAAACACAAUCUUGGCCCGAUUACCAUUCGAUUACCAAUCUCUCAAUACAGGUAAGUUUCUAAUCAUGAGA